UAGAAUAGGUGAACUCGCGGAUAGCUAGAGAGGAUGGCAGAGCCGCCGCCGCCGAGCGUCGAACUUGGUGCUAUCACCGGCGCUUCUCUUUUCGAGCGAGCUGUCGCAGAAGGUAACCGGCACCGAGAAGAAGAGCGGCCGGUACCCGGGUGUCGCUGUUGAUGUUACCGGUCCACCGGCAUUGCGGGCGGCGCAGCGAUCAACUACUCGUAGUACGGGUUCUUAUGACCGCGGGUCAAGUAGGGCUAGCUACCACCUCAGAACAGGCUCGGAAGGUUGGCAUUCGUCGACCAAAACUUCGGAUGGUUCCGUGGUUAGUUUAGGUGUAAACGUAUGUAUUUAAGGACUACCGUCGUUGAAUUAGGACAACUCGCCGUUACUAAGAUGGCCGAUGAGGAAGCAGAUUGAGCAAAAAGUACAUUUGUACCGUCUUUGGUGGGAUCUAGACCAUGCUGUACAAGCGCGCACACGUCAUAAAAGACGUAAAUAAAGAAGACUAUUACCUCACCAGUAACAUAAUCCUAUGGUUCAAUAGUAGAGUACAAAACGCUUCUACUAGAUUUAGGUAGUAUGGCACUCACGUCAAGAUCAUUUGAUUUAGGUAGUAUGGCACUCACGUCAAGAUUUAGUUAUAUGGUGAUCAAUUUACUCAUGUGACAUAUCUGUAGGUGGUACGAAAUUAACGGCACCGGUGACCGAUUAACUAACCUCUUAGUGAAAGAGAGUGGGGUCGACGGAUUAAUUUGACAAUAAGAUUUU
rnacentral:rRNA from 1 species